AGGGUUCGAUUCUGGCUCAGGAUGAACGCUAGCUACAGGCUUAACACAUGCAAGUCGAGGGGCAGCAUGGAGUUUGCUUGCAAACUCUGAUGGCGACCGGCGCACGGGUGAGUAACGCGUAUCCAACCUUCCCUAUAGUAGAGGAUAGCCCGGCGAAAGUCGGAUUAAUACUCUAUGUUUUCCGUUGCAGACAUCUAAGAUGGAACAAAGGCUUGCCGCUAUAGGAUGGGGAUGCGUCUGAUUAGGUAGUCGGCGGGGUAACGGCCCACCGAGCCAUCGAUCAGUAGGGGUUCUGAGAGGAAGGUCCCCCACAUUGGAACUGAGACACGGUCCAAACUCCUACGGGAGGCAGCAGUGAGGAAUAUUGGUCAAUGGACGAGAGUCUGAACCAGCCAAGUAAGCGUGCAGGACGACGGCCCUAUGGGUUGUAAACUGCUUUUAUGCGGGGAUAAAGUUCACUACGUGUAGUGUUUUGUAGGUACCGCAUGAAUAAGGACCGGCUAAUUCCGUGCCAGCCGCCGC
rnacentral:rRNA from 1 species